rnacentral:rRNA from 1 species
UACGUAGGGCGCAAGCGUUGUCCGGAAUUAUUGGGCGUAAAGAGCUCGUAGGCGGUUGCGCGUCUGCUGUGAAAGCCCGGGGCUCAACCCCGGGUCUGCAGUGGGUACGGGCAGACUAGAGUGCAGUAGGGGAGACUGGAAUUCCUGGUGUAGCGGUGAAAUGCGCAGAUAUCAGGAGGAACACCGAUGGCGAAGGCAGGUCUCUGGGCUGUUACUGAUGCGAGGAGACGAAGCAUGGGGGAGCGAAACAGGA